rnacentral:sRNA from 1 species
UAAUAGCCCUGAUAGUAGUGGAAAUCCUUUAAUUGUUGUCUGAGGCUGUCACACUGAGCUUGUCGAAGUGCCGAAGACGAUAAUUAAAGAUUGUAACGAAUAGCGGGAAAUAGC